ACAAACCGGUUGUGCAGUGCCAGGCAUUUCAAUAAGAAACAAAAUGCUGAGUAACAACAUGAAGUCAGAGUGUUGCUUGCCAAGAGCUGGGAGGCCUGGGUGGUUUCCCAAUCUUAAAGAAGCAGAAGGAUAUUAAAGUGAGCCUCCCAAAGGAAAACGUGGAUCUACGUACCAACGCAGAAAAUGAUACACAAGGAUUCGAUUUAGGGUUAUAAUGAAAAUCAAAUGAUCACAUAUACCUGAUUCACAUUUGAAAAGAAGACUACAGUAUAUGGUACUGUGGUAGGAUACCAGGGUACACAUGGUAGGAAGACUAACAGGACAACCUGGUGUACCCAGUUCAGAAGCCUGGACGCGUCCCACAGUCAGCAGAAUUCUGGAGGGAAGUGGCUCUGGGAGUUAGACAGUGGCUCAGUGAUGCUGGGGCCACCAAGUCUGCAAUUCUCCCGACCUGUUCUUCAUGGUUGUAAGAUGACUGCUGCAAUUCCAGGCAUCGUGUGCAUGUUAAUGGCAGGAGGAAGAGAGGAAGAGGGAGCACUGGAAUGUGACGUUCAUUUUGUCAGGAAAAGCAAAGCCUUUCCAGACAGACCCGAAACCUGCUUACCUCUCAUUGGCCAGCACCAUCACUUGACUACUUGUCCACUCCUAGCUGCUAGGAAAGUGGCAAAGUAGAAGGUAUUUGAGAAUGUCUGCUGGGUUAGCCAAAACAAUAGUGACUUCUACACCCAAUUUUCUGGGCACUGCAUAAGUAUCCUUGAUUCCUAUGUGAUCAGAGGGAGAGCAAACCUCAAUAAUGAAACAGAUUCAAUUUCCAUCACCCAGUGAGACACCAUGGGAUUAGAAUAAAUUUUUAAAGAAAACACAUUGAAAAAAAUGCAUUUUUUAAACAACAAAAAUCAGAAAGGAUGAAAGGUGAUAUUUCCAGCAUAUCAGUUUGUGGUGGUAAGUUAAUUACUUAUACACAGGCCUCAGUGACUUUCUUCUCCUUACCUAAUGGAUCAUCUUUAAAAUAAGUAAAUUAAAGAAGAAAGAGCAGCAGCAGAUGCUACCUAACAAGAAGUUACCAAAUCUGUUCACCACAAACCUGAGAAUUCAACUGUGGACAUUUGGACACCGGCAAUGAACAUGAAACUCAGCUUAUGAGGCACAUUUGGCUAAAGGUCAAGGUGACUUAAAGUUCAUUAUAGGACAUCUACAAUUUGCAAAGCAAGUGGCCGGAUGUGGACUCCUUCCAAGUCUCAUUUAAUUGGAUAAUACCUAUGUUUUAAGUAUCAGAAGUGAAUCUUUCUCUGUUAAAUGAAGUCAGUUCCACUAAAACCCUAAUCUUGUUUGGCAGGCACUCCAUAUUUCUUUAUUUUUAUUCCAUGCUGUGUAUUCUUUUAGACUUGAUUUUCACUUUUUUUUUCUUUUUUCCUGUAAGUUUAUCUUUGUUGUGAAACAAAGUGCCCUGGUUUGAAGGACAGGUUUGUGGGCUGCUGGUGGUGGGACAACAGCAGUCCUUCCAAGUCUUCCUCCCAUCACUCUGUUAGCUCUCCCUUUGUUUUUAAUUAGCAUUACACCAGUUAAUUCUGUUGUCUCUUAACCCUGGUUCUGCAUCCUCUUCUUCUUUUCUAUUCCUUACUCCGCUCCUGUUUUCUCUUGUUCUGCUUUUCCAAGAAAUGGCUUGUCUUCUCAUCAGCUGACUGUCUUCUCUUUCCAGAGGGACCAUAAAGGUGCCAGCCUAAGGAACGCAUAAAACGUGGGAACAGACAAACAAGCUGCUGCCUAUUACAGAGAUAGAUAAUUAACUUUGGACCAUUACAUGCAAUUCAUCUGCUUAUCUUUUUCAAACUUUAUAUAAGAAGUCAUUUCCCAAUGGUAACCACUUGCCAGCUGCAACUUUGACGCAUAUUAUCAGGAUAGAUGAGAUUGAUGGGGGCCCUUUGAACUCUUCCCAGGGAAUUAUCUUUAUAAUGUUACAGUUUCUCUAUAGCAUGGUCAUAUUGUUAAUAUUGGUUAUAAGGUCAUAUGGUUAGUAUUGGUGGCUCACAGCUGUAAUACCAGCACUUUGGGAGACCAAGGUGGGAGGAUCACUUGAACCCUGGUGUUCAAAAUAGCCCUGGAAACAUAGCAAGACCUUGCCUCUACAAAAACAAAUUAAAUAAAUAAACAGAUUGGCUGGGCAUGGUGGCAUAUGCCUGUAGUCCUCACUACUUGGGAAACUAAGGUGAGCGGACUCCUUGAGCUUGGAAGGUUGAGGCUGCAAUGAGCUGUGGUUGUGCCAUGGCACUCCAGCCUGGGUGACAGAGUGACACCCUGUCUCAAAAAAAAAAAAGUACCUGUAAGGUCUUUGGGAUUUCGAAGAUGAAAGGUGUCACAUAAAUUGAAUGAAUUCACUUAGAGAGAUAGAAGGCAGCUACGGGGAAUAUUACAUACAUCAUGGAGCUGAAAGCACUAAGGCCUGUGGAAUUAUUCUCAGUGACACGUAGUUAAGGGCAGUGGUCCACGUGUUUUGAACAUGGUUUCUCCCAGGUGAAAAGGAUGAGUAAUUUGUUCUCCUUCAUGUGUGUGUGUGUAGGUCUUAUACAUAGCAGAUUUGCCACAAAACAAAUGAAGAUUACACUUUGGGCCCUUCUCUCACCUGAGCCCCUUUCAAAGUUCUGUUUGCUAAUUUUACAUUUUGUAAUUUCUUAUUAUUUUUCUUAAAGAAGCCUCCUCCAAUUGCAUAAACUUCAAGCCUCACAAAAUUUGGAUCCAUACCUGAGCCAACAUACAAUACAAUUUUCCACUUCUAA